UAGUCCACGCUGUAAACGAUGAUCACUAAGUGUUCGGCCUUCGGGUUGAGUGCUCAAGCGAAAGCGAUAAGUGAUCCACCUGGGGAGUACGGUCGCAAGACUAAAACUCAAAGGAAUUGACGGGGGCCCGCACAAGCGGUGGAUUAUGUGGUUUAAUUCGAAGCAACGCGCAGAACCUUACCUAGGCUUGAAAUCCUACGAAUCUGGUGUAAUGACCGGAGUGCCCGCAAGGGAAUGUAGUGACAGGUGCUGCAUGGCUGUCGUCAGCUCGUGUUGUGAAAUGUUGGGUUAAGUCUCGCAACGAGCGCAACCCCUAUCUUUAGUUGCCAGCAUUAAGUUGGGCACUCUAGAGAGACUGCCCGGGUUAACCGGGAGGAAGGUGGGGAUGACGUCAAGUCCUCAUGGCCCUUAUGCCUAGGGCUACACACGUAAUACAAUGGCACGCACAAAGGGAAGCGACCCAGCGAUGAUGAGCAAAUCUCAAAAAGCGUGUCUCAGUUCGGAGUUG
rnacentral:rRNA from 1 species